GGAGGGAUCAUUAACAAAUCUUGACAACACCCUGUGUAAAUGUCUGUUCCGUGGGGUGUCGCUGGGGAUGCGACGCGUGGGGCAACCCGCCCACGGACUAUUACAAACUAUUGACAGAGCAUGUAGAUGCAACAUUAACAACUUUUAACAAUGGAUCUCUUGGCUCUUGCAACGAUGAAGAACGCAGCAAAAUGCGAAAUGUCGUGUGACCUGCAUACUUCGUGAAUCAUCAAAUCUUUGAACGCAACUUGCACCUUGUGGCAUCGCCACAAGGUAUACUUGUUUGAGUAUUGCUUCUAAAAGUCACUGGUCCUGUGUGUGUGCAGAAACAGUAGUCACCGUAACAGGUGGCCGAGACUGCUAUGCCAUACGUAGACUCGGUGGAAUUGGUGGUAUGUGACACAUGGUAGUGGGGAAGCGCCUAGUGAACGCACAUUCCGCUGAAAUGAAGGCUGCGGUUCUGUAGCCACUGAUGGGAUAACAUCUGCGUCAGUGUGCAGUAGGACCUAGGCAAGAUCGACAUGAGUGUGUGUGGUAAUGUAUGUUACUGCGCAUGUGAUUGUCAAUAGUCAUACAAUAAUAAUCAUGCAUGAUGCAUAUGUGUGUGCUGGGGAUGCCCACAUCAUAUCGUCGCUUGACUGUGUCUGUGUGACCGAUACUCCAAUCUCAAAUCAAGUAAGAGUACCCGCCGAAACUUAAGCAUAUCAGUAAGCGGAGGAAAAGAAACUAACAAGGAUUCCCGUAGUAACGGCGAGUGAACGGGGAAGAGCUCAAAUUUGAAAUCUGGCACCAUUGGUGUCCGAAUUGUAUUUGAUAGACGUGUCCUGUGGGAGACGGUGUGGUCCAAGUCCCCUGGAAAGGGGCGCCGGAGAGGGUGACAGCCCCGUGGAGACCAUGUACGUUGAACAUAUCAGGGCGCGUCAACGAGUCGGAUUGUUUGGGAAUGCAGUCCAAAAUGGGUGGUACGAGCCAUCUAAAGCUAAAUAACGGCAAGAGACCGAUAGCGAACAAGUACCGUGAGGGAAAGAUGAAAAGCACUUUGAAAAGAGAGUUAAACAGUACGUGAAAUUGUUAAAAGGGAAACGAUUGAGACCAGUGAGGUGGUGUCAGUUCAGUGUCCACGUAUGUGGGCAUGUAGUCUGGCACCACGGGUUGGCUCCCCUUUGGCACCCUGGAUAAGACCGGCGGAAAGGUGGCCUGCUUCGGCAGCGCUUUAUAGUCCGCUGGGGAUACAGGUGAGCUAGAGGGGUCGUGCGCAGCGGCCGUGCUGCUGUGCUGGCCUACGAAAUGGUCUUAAACGACCCGUCUUGAAACACGGACCAAGGAGUCUAGCAACUAUGCGAGUAUUCGAGUGGCAAACUUGGAUGCGCAAAGAAACUGAUUGCGUGGGAGUCGCGUAAGCGAUGCACCAUGGGCCGGUCCUUGACUUGUCUUGGAUCGCGCUAGAGCAUAAGUGUUGGGACCCGAAAGAUGGUGAACUAUGCCUGGAUAGGGCGAAGCCAGAGGAAACUCUGGUGGAGGCUCGUAGAGAUUCUAACGUGCAAAUUGAUCUUCAAAUUUGGGUAUAGGGGCGAAAGACUAAUCGAACCAUCUAGUAGCUGGUUCCCUC
rnacentral:misc_RNA from 1 species